rnacentral:rRNA from 2 species
CGAGUGAAGCGGCAACAGCUCAAAUUUGAAAUCUGGCUCUUUCAGAGUCCGAGUUGUAAUUUGCAGAGGGCGCUUUGGUGUUGGCAGCGGUCCAAGUUCCUUGGAACAGGACGUCACAGAGGGUGAGAAUCCCGUACGUGGUCGCUAGCCUUCGCCGUGUAAAGCCCCUUCGACGAGUCGAGUUGUUUGGGAAUGCAGCUCUAAAUGGGAGGUAAAUUUCUUCUAAAGCUAAAUACUGGCCAGAGACCGAUAGCGCACAAGUAGAGUGAUCGAAAGAUGAAAAGCACUUUGGAAAGAGAGUCAAAUAGCACGUGAAAUUGUUGAAAGGGAAGCGCUUGCAGCCAGACUUGCCUGUAGUUGCUUAUCCGGACUUUUGUCCGGUGCACUCUUCUGCGGGCAGGCCAGCAUCAGUUUGGGCGGUUGGAUAAAGGUCUCUGUCAUGUACCUCUCUUCGGGGAGAACUUAUAGGGGAGACGACAUGCAACCAGCCUGGACUGAGGUCCGCGCAUCUGCUAGGAUGCUGGCGUAAUGGCUGUAAGCGGCCCGUCUUGAAACACGGACCAAGGAGUCUAACAUCUAUGCGAGUGUUUGGGUGUCAAGCCCAGACGCGUAAUGAAAGUGAACGGAGGUGGGAACCCUUUGGGUGCACCAUCGACCGAUCCUGAUGUCUUCGGAUGGAUUUGAGUAAGAGCAUGGCUGUUGGGACCCGAAAGAUGGUGAACUAUGCUUGAAUAGGGUGAAGCCAGAGGAAACUCUGGUGGAGGCUCGCAGCGGUUCUGACGUGCAAAUCGAUCGUCAAAUUUGGGCAUAGGGGCG